UUACAGGGCACUUCCAUGGAGGUCAUCCUGUUUUAUCAUCUCAUAGACAUUAUCAUCCCCAUUUUAAAGGUCUACUUCACUGGUUCUAUGAAAUCUACUAUUGAAGCUGAUGGAGAAAAGCAAAUACACAAAUCACCCAGCAGCUUCCCGAUGCACACUGCUUUCUGUGUCUUAAAUCUAACCUCCUCUUUCUCCCUUCUUUCAUCAAAUGCCACUCCAAUCCUUUCACCCUUGAGAUACUGGCAUUGCUGAAUCAGCCCAAGUCUCUGCUUUCCCCUUGCAUAUUCUUCAAGAGAGGCAGUCCUUGAUGACAGUAUUUGGCCUCUGAUCACCUACUCUGGGUUCUACUGGGACUUCCAAAGGCACCUACUCUACAUACUGCUCUACCUGCUUACACGCAGACCACAGUGCAGCUCUCAGCCAUGCCCUUUGGGGAUUCCGAGCCUGCAGAGGUUAGAAAGUUACUAUUGAGCAGGGAAAUACACCUUUGCAAUUGUCCUGGGGGCUAUUUCAGGCAAGAGAGCUGAAAACUUAAGAGGCUUUCUGAUUGUUGAUGCCUGGGGGACCCAAAAGCAAAAGACCUUUAUCUCCUUCAUCACCUAAGCCCCUAGGAUAGGUGCACCUCUGAAUGUCUGUCAGAGAAGUCAGCCUGCCUCAGGGAAAGGUCUCUGCCCUUCAGAGUUAUUAAUUCAUCCAGCAAAUCAGUCCCUAUUUUGUGCAGACCCUGGGAACUCAGCAGUGAGCAUGGCACCCAGGACUCCUGUUCACGUGGACCUGUUUCGUCAAGAAGCCUCAGCGGUAGGCAGAGUGGACAGCCCGGUGGCCCCACACACCCUCACCUGCCUCUGUGGCCUCUGCCGAUUCUUCCCUUUCUUUCAGAUUUGAAAAUCGAGACCUUUUCUCAUCCGUGAGGCUUGGAUGUCACACCUAUCAGACAGGGCUAGACCCGGCCUCAGACUCUCUCAGGUCUAGACUUAGCUCUACCUACUUACACUCAGACCACAUUUAGAUUCUCCUGUGAACUGUUCUGUACUGGAAGCCCUGAGAAAGCCUGUCCUUCCUCAGCUUCCAAGUGGACACAAGUCUGGUCCAUUCCUUUCCCUGAGCAGCUAAGCUGGUGCCUGUGAGCCUGCCCCUUACAGAUGGCUGACUGGACUGGUGGGCACCCGAUCCAAGGUCAUCCUAACUGCGGGCUGGCCAGGUACCUAUGAAGGGCUCUUGGUUUGAGAGAUUUGCCUAAAGGGGCAACAUGACUUCAGUGGGCCAAGAGCUCAGAACUGGGCUUGUCAGUCCAUCAGUAGUGGGAGACGGUAGGGACACACGCACACAGCUGGACCACAGGACAGGCAGGGCACUGGCAAGAGGACCAAAGGCUCCCGCUGCUGAGGGCCACAAACACCCCUGCCUCCAGAAAGGUCUUGGCUCCCAGUACUCUUCUGUUCUCAUUUGUGUUGCCGCCGGACCAGGAGGCCCUGCUGAGUUGAGAUGUUUCUCCUCCCCCAGUUGCAUCCCUUCCCUCCCACCGGUCUCACCGUCCUCUCUCACAGCUGCUCCUUGCCUCUGUGGACUGGAGCCCAACUGAAUUCCUGAUUCUCAUCUUCUUAAUCUUAAAGGCUUUGAGGAGUUCCUGCUGCAUGCUCAGCCUUGCGCCAGGUGCCAAGCGGGUGAGCAGAAAGGAAGCGAGACGCCCGGCCCCGGCCCUCAGGGCGCCUCCACUCUGGCAGGACAGAUACGGCCUAUGAGCAGCGCUGGGCCUGGUAACUCCCCAGGCCAGAGUCGGGCUGAUCUUGGAUGUGGUGUGUUCAGGGAAGGUGCCCUGUGAGGCCAGAGGAGGCCUCUGGGCACUGGGCAAGGGGUGUCAGAAAAUGCGGCUGGAAGGAAAGGCAGAGACGCGUCAUGCCGGCUGUGGAGACCAGCGUGACAAACGUCUGAGGGAUGGAGUGAGGCUGGUCAAGGGGACCAGGAGGAAGGUCCAAAUGGGGAGCUGGGGGCUGCUUCAGCCUACCGUCCUUACCCUGCCGUGAAAUCUGGGCAAGCAGGAUGGGUGUGCAGGCAUCCCGCCCUCCCAGUCACCUCGUCAGGCACGAAUUGCCCAGGAUUUUAAAAAAAAAAAGGGAAGUCCUCAUUAUGGGGUUGGAAAUCCUCAUCCUAGAGAUAAAAUUUUAUGAGUUGCCGAUGGCUCUGCACCCUGUGUUUUUGACAUUCCCUGUUGCACGUACAGUAUUUUAAACACAUGAGACACAGACAUGACUUUAAAAAAAUUUUUUUUUGAUUCUCUUACCCUUUCAUUUUUUUUUUCUUGCUGUCAUGGCUUAGUGGGUAGCUCUGAAGUUUUUAAUGCUGAAGGGCCCAUUUCAUGUAAUUUAUUGCCCUGCUUGUGUGAAAGCUGAGGCCUAUAAAUCGUCAAUACAGCCCGUCUAAUUCCAGCAACGGCAAGGCUUCGUCACAUGUAAUUAAAGGAUCCCAAAGCCAUUGGAAUGUAAUGGAUUUGGAAAUGACACCAUGGGGGCCCAGGGAGCAGGCCCAGGAAGAGGCGGCUGUAUUUCAAAGGCUCGCCGGCGCGGUCUGGGAUGGAUGGGGCUGCCCAGCUGGGCUCCAGCAGGGCCGGCUGUCGGGGGUAGAGAGGCAGGGUCUGGAUUUCAUCUGAGCCUCUGCUCUGAGACCACUUGCGGUUCCCACCUGGGUGGAGGUGCGCCCGGCUCUUGGCCCUACAUGCUCCUUCGGACUGGCCUGCCCGGCUACCACCUCUGAUGGGAGUGAGCAGCCGUGUCCUGGCAGGAGGAUUUGUAGAAACGGGGAGGGGCCCAGGCUUACAGACAGGGCCCAACCCCAGGAUGGUUUCACCUUCCCCAUGAGUACAAGUUCCAACUUUCCCCUUGAAGCUGUUCCUGGUGUUCAGACCCUCAUGGUCACCCAGGGGCCCUAUAUGUUCUGCUGAGAAGUUCCCCUAAUUCCCGCAUGUCCGCAACCCUCCUCCCUCUGAGCCCCCAGGGCACCUUGUCUGUCCUGCUUUGGGACAAUAUGGUGCUGGGUGUAGGUAUUUGUUUAUCUGCCUCCCCAAGUCCACCACCUCCCCAGGAACAAGGGCUGUGUUUAAGUUGUUGCUGACCCCAGCGGCCUUACAUGGUCCUGUCUCAUGGUAGGCGGUAGGCAACUGUGUAGCAGGAACGAAGAGAUGGGGAGUAAGAAAGGAAAGAGGAAAGGAAGAAGAAAGGACAGAAGGGAAGAAGAAAGAAAGGAAGGAAGGAGGAGAGGGAUUUGGGGCCAUCUCUUCCCAUCUCAUGUUUUUAUAAAUAAUAAGGAAACCAGAUUCCAAGAUGGCCCCCAACCAUCUCCACCUCCUGGUGGCCUCACCCACAUCACACCAGGGUGGCGUCUGUGACCAACACCAUGCGGCAGAAGUGUAGUUAUGUCCCUUCUGAGAUCAGGUUAUAAAAAGACUGCGGCUUCGGUCUCUUUUCCUCUCCCUCUCUCUCUUGAGUUGCUCGCUCUGGGGGAAGCAAGCCAUUGUGCUGUAUGAGCAGCCGUCCAGGGAGGCCUUCAUGUCGGGGGCCUGGAUGGAGCCUCUGGCUGACAGCCAGCCAGGAACCGAGGUCUGACAACACUGCGGCGAUGGGCUUGGAAAUGGUCCUCUGGCCCCAUGGAGCUUUGCAAUGACCACACCUUGGCCAACAGCUUGACUUCAGUCUCACUAGGCUGCACCCGGAUUCCUGACCUCAGAAGCCGUACAAGUAAAUGAAUGUUAUUUUGAGUUGCCAACUCUGGGAUAACGUAUUGCCCAGCGAAAGGUAACUAAUGCAAACACCAUCUACACAUUGAUGACACCAAAUAUUUAUUUCCAAGUCAGACCUCUCUGCUCAACUCCAGAAACCUGUGUCCAACUGCCUCCUUUACAUCUCUGCCCUCCGUCCAAACUGAACUGAUCAUCCUCUCAGCCUGCUUCCCCCACAGUUGUCCCCAUCCUGGUUGGUGGCGGCUCUUACCUGGAUGCUAGCCACAGCCUCCUACCUGCCUCGUGACCCUCCCGUGGCCACUGCAGUUUAUUCUCUACUCAGGGCCCAGGGAUGCCAGCCAAAUGCAUGUAUCAUGACCCUGCAAACUUAACUUGCCAAAGCCUCACAACUUCCACAAGACAAGAGUCAAAGUCCUUAAAUAGCACAUAAGGUGUCAACUAUUCCUUUCCGACCUCAUCUCCCACCUCUCUGCCCAACUCCCGUCUCUCAUGGGGCCACAUGGGCCUUUUGCCGCCAGGCCCACUCCCACAUUAGGGCUUUGCACUGACUCCUCCCUGUGUCUGGAUCACUCCCCCCCAGGUAUCCAUGUGGCUCAUUCCCUCACCUCUUUCAAGUCUUUACUCAGGUGUCACCCUUUCUAGGAAUUCUACCUUGACAACCCCUGAACUCCCAGCUUCAUUACUUUGCUGUCCACACUCUCCUCCCCAUCUUACAAAGCACUUAAAACCUUCCAACUUAUUAUAUAAUUUAUUUUUUAUGCUCACUGCCUGUGGGCAUUCUCUGCUAGUAUCUGAGCUCCAGGAGAGCAGGGGUUCUUGUUAGUAAUUUUCUGUUGUGCUCAUUGCAGGAUUACCAGCACCUAGAACAGAAUGCCUAGAACUAGGUGCUUGGCACAUAACAGCAAUCAAAAAAUAUUUUUGAAGAACGGAAAGAAGGGUGGAAGGAAGGAGGGAAGCAGAGAUGGCAAGAUGGCAGGAGGCUGGAUGGAGACAGUGAAGGGAGGGAGGAAGGACUCGCUCUGUGAUCCGAGUUGUUGUUUAGCACAUGCAGCUCCUCUCCUUGUAAGGUCUGCACUGCAGGGUCUUUGAAGGCAUGAGAGGAUGUCCCACCCACAGCAUCCAGUGACAGGCCCCGCUGAGACCAGGGCUGAGGGGAUGUUCUUGAUUGAGCUGUCCUUGGUCAUCGAGGAAUCCCUGUCUCAUUGCCCUCAUAAUCCAGCAAACCUAAUUAUGAGAUAUUUUCACUUCUCUGGUCUUUUGCUGCUAUUCCCAUCCAGCCCCUCUGCUUUUCCCACUUUUUCAUGGGUUGAAUUAUGUCGUCUGAAAAUAUAUGUUGAAGUCUCAAACCUUGCCCCCCACCAGUACCUUAGAAUGUGACCUUAUUUCAAAAUAGGAAUGUGACAGAUGGAAUUAAGUUAAAAUGAGGCCAUACUAGAGAAGGGUGGGCCCCUGACCCAAUGUGACGAACUGUCCUCUUGGAAAGGAGACAGACAUGUGGGGAGAAAUGUUAUGUGAAGACAGAGGCGGAGAUUGAAGUGAUGCAUCUACAGAUCAAGGAAUGCCGAGGAUUGUUAGCCACUGCCAGGAGCCAGGAGAGAGGCAAGGAAUGGAUUCUCCACCAGAGCCCUCAGAAGGAAGCAACCAUGCCAACACCUUGACCUCAGACAUUUAGCGCUUCCAAAAUUGACUGUGAAAGAAUAAAUAUCUGUUGUUUUGUUACAGCAGCCCUGAGAAACUCACACACACUGCACGCCUUCUUCUCCAAGACCAUCCCGCUCUUGCCUUGGAGACCUCUCUCAGUGUUCACAGAUACUAGAACACACCACCCUUGAUUCUCUGCAGAGUGUUUUCCCUGCUACACAUAAUACAAAGAAUCUCACCUCCUCCAAGAAGCCCUCUCGGACAGCUUAAGAAGAAGGAACUAAAUACUCUUCGCAUCCUUGUAUUUGAAGGUAGACUCGGGAAUGUAUGGCUUUUUUGUUUUUAAACUCACAAUUAAUGUGCAUCUUCUUGGCUUGAGAAAAUGGAGAUGGCGCAUCUUAUCCAUUUGUUUUUGACUUGCUUACUCUUUGCCACGUUGUCUCUCUGAUUAAAUGAUUUGAACAAGAAACAGAUGCAUCUCCUUCAUUGCCUAUAGUUCCAAAUCUAGAUACAGUAAAGAAAAGGCACUCAUGCUGGUGGGUAAGGACUGUUCAGUAAGAGGGGGCCUGAUUCACUUCUCUCCUCUCCUAUUUUAUGAAUGAGGAAAUUGAGGCCCAGGCAGAAAAAGUGACCCAAAAAG